UUGUAGCGCUGUAGCUAGCUUAGCAUCGGCUUUUUUUCAUUCUUAGACAAUGUUGUCUCGGCACACUGAGAGGUUUGAUGUUACUAAAAGCAUUCAAAUCGAAUAUGUCUUCAAUGGGGAUAAGUAUAUCAGUCCCAAAAUGUAUAUAUCUUCCACAAUCCGGGGCGAGCUUAGGUAAAGCGUGUCACUCUUACCGCCAUGCCAGCAGACCAAUCUUGAAAUCGAAAGUAAACAGAGCAGCAGAACAGCAAUGUUUCAGAUCAGUUUGGUUUUAUAAUCUCAAGUGUGCGUCCAUGAGAGUGAAAUCUUCACGACAAUCAGGGCUGAUGACAGCAGUAAACCAGUACAGAUUCUGUCUGGUUAGUCUGCUGACCCAGCUGGUGACCCACUGGAUUAGUGUCUUACCAAUGUGUUCAGUCUGGUACAUAAAAACUUCACUGCUGGGUCUUCAACCCAAGUUGGACACUGGGAAAGAAAUGAAAAUAGCCAACUCCAAACAGCAGAUAUGCCCGUUUGGAGUAAAUCCAACACAUCAGAUGAACUCAAACUGAGCUCUCCGUUUGGUUCACCACCUGUUUUCACACUUGUCAGGAGCUAAAGCAUCGCCAUGGCAACGGAAAGUAUACCUGUUCACCAGGAUCAAUAAUUUAGAACAGGGGUCUCAAACUCUGUUUAUCUGGGGACCACUGGAAGCAGAGUCUGGAUGAAGGCCGCAUUAGGAUUUCCACAAGAAAAGCGCAGCUAAAACAUUCCAAUGUUCACAAAUAUCUUUAUUUUAACACAAAAUAAUGAAUAAAACAAAUAAAUGAAUAAAUUUAAAAAAUGAAUUAAAAAAAUCAGUCAUUAAUGAAAAAAUUAAAAUAAUAAUGACCAUACAGCAGAUACAGACGAAUGAAGAAACCACAUUUUGACUGACUAUAGAAAACCCAUUAUUCUUAUUCAGUUUCAAAUGUAUGUAUUAACAGCUCCUCCUUCAUUUCUGAGCUGAGAGCAGCACGCUCACUGAGAUUCUGCUUGUGCGUGCAUCACUCACGCACGCGGAAGUAGUCAGUCUCUCGCUUGAGGACUUUUUCUGCUCGUGGAGGAGGAAAAAGCGCUCAAAGGGUCUGAUUUGUCCUCCAGGAAUGUUGUAUGCGUACGCGGAGAUGUCUUAUUUCUGCGUGGAGUUUUGACAUAAAUGAAACGCCAUGUGUCUCCCAUUCAUUCUAAGAGAGACAUCCACAGACGGAGCUGGUAGCUCCUCCCACAGCCGACGCAGUGUCUGAAACACGUUAUUUGACAAGAGGGACUCUGAUCGCAGGACGACGACACAACAGAUGGUUCACCUUCCUUCUUCAUCAAGCCACAAACAAGGAUCUGAUGGUUAAAGUCUGAGUGUAAAGCUCCUCAAAGGAUUUAGGUUGUGGAAACAGCUGCUGGAUCCACAUAUGUCAACAGUCAAAGAUUAGAGAAUCAGGGAGGAGACGGAGGCAGAAGGACGGCUGCAGAUGCAGGAAGAGCACGCACAGGAAUUUCCACUGAGAAGCCAUCGCUGUGGGGACCACAGUGUGACACACCAACACGCACUUCCUCUCAUCCCU